CUACGGGGCGCACCAGUGAGGAAUAUUGCACAAUGGGGGGAACCCUGAUGCAGCAACGCCGCGUGGAGGAUGACGCAUUUCGGUGUGUAAACUCCUUUUAUAUGUCAAGAAAAUGACGGUAGCAUAUGAAUAAGCACCGGCUAACUCCGUGCCAGCAGCCGCGGUAAUACGGAGGGUGCAAGCGUUACUCGGAAUCACUGGGCGUAAAGCGUUCGUAGGUGGUUUGGAAAGUUUAUAGUUAAAUCUGGUUGCUCAACGAUCAAAUCGCUGUAAAAACUUCCAAACUUGAGGAUGGCAGGGGCAACUGGAAUUCCACAUGUAGGGGUAACAUCCGUUGAUAUGUGGAGGAACACCAAAAGCGAAGGCAGGUUGCUGGGCCAUUCCUGACACUGAGGAACGAAAGCGUGGGGAGCAAACAGGAUUAGAUACCCUAGUAGUC
rnacentral:rRNA from 1 species